GUGCCAUCUCUGAAAACCAGUGCUCUGCCCAGAGCCCCAGCAGCCAGAGUAUGCCACUGAACCCACACAGCAGGGUGAAUACUGAACCAAGGAUGCAGUUCAGAGGUCAGGAUGGGAAGAUGUGCCUGGGCUUCCACAGUGCCUCUGUGAAAGAAAAACUGAGACAAAAAAGAAAAACUGAGACGUUUCCUCCAAGACGUUCCUGCUCUCAGAAGGGGAAGGAGAGGAACUUGGACAGACAGUUGAUGUGAAAUUCAUUUUGUGGCCAGCUUUCCAGUAGACUAUGAGCUCCUCAAGCCCAGACCUCUGGUUUGGGCAAUUUAUCUCCAUUUUUUCAGAGGAAGACACUGAGACACAGAGAACUCUCCCAGAAGCCUUCUGCCCAUGGACACCUUACAUCAGAUUGCUUUCUGAGAGAAAAGAGAUGGAAUUCUGCUCUGACAGCACUGAUACUGAGCAACGUGUUUUCCUGGAACUCUGGGACAGAACGGAUGGCCUGAUUUCAAUCUGCCUUUCCAGAAGCCAUUUGCCUUGGCUUAUUCCUGACUCCAAGGGCAGAUGUGACCAUUCUUGGCUCUUUGACUUUUGAGGGGGUAGAGAUAUGGAGUGGUGCCACUUUGCUAUUACAUACUAAAGUCAUUCCCUUAACAACAAAAAAAGUUGGGGAGAGGACUCACAGUUUCCAAUUCAAGUGCUUUCCAAAAAAAUAAAAUAUGGGAAAAAUAUAGUUUAAAAUAUCUG
rnacentral:lncRNA from 1 species